UACGAAGGGGGCUAGCGUUGCUCGGAAUUACUGGGCGUAAAGCGCACGUAGGCGGCUUUCUAAGUCGGGGGUGAAAUCCUGGAGCUCAACUCCAGAACUGCCUUCGAUACUGGAGAGCUUGAGUCCGGGAGAGGUGAGUGGAACUGCGAGUGUAGAGGUGAAAUACGUAGAUAUUCGCAAGAACACCAGUGGCGAAGGCGGCUCACUGGCCCGGUACUGACGCUGAGGUGCGAAAGCGUGGGGAGCAAACAGG
rnacentral:rRNA from 1 species